ACUCCUACGGGAGGCAGCAGUGGGGAAUAUUGCACAAUGGGGGAAACCCUGAUGCAGCGACGCCGCGUGAAGGAAGAAGUAUUUCGGUAUGUAAACUUCUAUCAGCAGGGAAGAAAAUGACGGUACC
rnacentral:rRNA from 1 species